UACGGAGGGUGCAAGCGUUAUCCGGAUUCACUGGGUUUAAAGGGUGCGUAGGCGGGCAGGUAAGUCAGUGGUGAAAUCUUCGAGCUUAACUCGGAAACUGCCUUUGAUACUAUCUGUCUUGAAUAUUGUGGAGGUAAGCGGAAUAUGUCAUGUAGCGGUGAAAUGCUUAGAGAUGACAUAGAACACCCAUUGCGAAGGCAGCUUACUACGCAUAUAUUGACGCUGAGGCACGAAAGCGUGGGGAUCAAACAGG
rnacentral:rRNA from 1 species